UACGUAGGCAGCAAGCGUUGUUCGGAAUCACUGGGCGUAAAGGGAGCGUAGGCGGCGCGGUAAGUCAGAUGUGAAAUCCCGGGGCUCAACCCCGGAACUGCAUCCGAUACUGCCGUGCUAGAGGAUUGGAGAGGUAGCUGGAAUUCUUGGUGUAGCAGUGAAAUGCGUGGAUAUCAAGAGGAACACUCGUGGCGAAAGCGAGCUACUGGACAACUCCUGACGCUGAGGCUCGAAGGCUAGGGUAGCGAAAGGG
rnacentral:rRNA from 1 species